rnacentral:rRNA from 1 species
UACGGAGGGUGCAAGCGUUAUCCGGAUUCACUGGGUUUAAAGGGUGUGUAGGCGGGUAUUUAAGUCAGUGGUGAAAUCUCCGGGCUCAACCCGGAAACUGCCAUUGAUACUAUUUAUCUUGAAUAUUGUUGAGGUAGGCGGAAUAUAUCAUGUAGCGGUGAAAUGCUUAGAUAUGAUAUAGAACACCGAUUGCGAAGGCAGCUUACUAAACAAUUAUUGACGCUGAGGCACGAAAGCGUGGGGAUCAAACAGG